rfam:Trichomonas vaginalis G3, whole genome shotgun sequence.
UACUUGGUUGAUCCUGCCAAGGAAGCACACUUAGGUCAUAGAUUAAGCCAUGCAAGUGUUAGUUCAGGUAACGAAACUGCGAAUAGCUCAUUAAUACGCUCAGAAUCUAUUUGGCGGCGACCAACAGGUCUUAAAUGGAUAGCAGCAGCAACUCUGGUGCUAAUACAUGCGAUUGUUUCUCCCAGAUGUGAAUUAUGGAGGAAAAGUUGACCUCAUCAGAGGCACGCCAUUCGACUGAGUGACCUAUCAGCUUGUACUUAGGGUCUUUACCUAGGUAGGCUA